rnacentral:tmRNA from 1 species
GGGGCUGUUUGGUUUUGACAGCAGGUAGAACAGGUAUGUAAGCAUGCCGAGCACUGCGAAUACGGCUCGCUAAUCUUGAUUCGAAAACAAUUUAACUGGCGAAACAUCUUACGCUCUCGCUGCCUGAUCGAAGUAUAGUAGAUAGGCUUUAUUUCGGCACAAGGUGCUGAAACGAGACAUCUCCCGACUGCCCUUUUUCCCCGAGGCGUGUCGAACAGGAGGUGCGGAAAUAUCGAGGAUAGGCAAGUUCGGCUUCGAUAACUUGCCGAAAUCUAAAGAAGCUAAGACGCCGGUUGGUGGCUCAGGUCUUGCCGACGUACGAAAACCAAAGCUGGGAUAAGCAUGUAGAAAGCGUAUUGGUUCCUUGUUUGGACGAGGGUUCGACUCCCUCCAGCUCCACA